rnacentral:lncRNA from 1 species
UAUUAUCACCACCCCCGAUGAAAGAAAGAACAUGAUCUUAGCAAAGGAGCAAAGAAGAAAUUUCAUAUUUUAAAAAAAGUCCUUUAAAUAGCCGAAAAUGGACUUUUUGGAAAACUCACUAUACUAUCUUGAAUUUUCUCAUUCUUCUGCAGAGCAGUGAAAGCUUUGUCACAGACUUUCACAAGCGACAUCUGAAGGAGGCGACGCAGAUUACAAGGCGGGACCGGUUUGCUCACCCAGCAGAAUCCAGUUUCUGUCUCCUAUUUUCCCCAUUGAUUUGAAGUCCCAGAGAAACACAGUGUGAGUAGGCAUUGCUCUUCAGAGACCAUGGCCAUCUUGGCAGGUCUAGGAGCUCACUGAUAUCCUUUCAUAAUCUCCUUUUCUUCUUCUUUUUUUUUUUAAGAUUUUAUUUAUUUAUUCGACAGAGAUAGAGACAGCCAGCGAGAGAGGGAACACAAGCAGGGGGAGUGGGAGAGGAAGAAGCAGGCUCAUAGCGGAAGAGCCUGAUGUGGGGCUCGAUCCCAUAACGUCGGGAUCACGGCCUGAGCCGAAGGCAGACGCUCAACUGCUGUGCCACCCAGGCGCCCCGAUAAUCUCCUUUUCUUCUUAAAAAAGUGCUAGGGAGAGUAAAAGAAUAGAGAGGGAUGUUCUUUAUUCAGAAAAUCUAAAACUAUAUCCCUGAAUGUCUGGGUGGACUUGGUGGGUACAAAUUUAAUGGACAUUAGAUGAGCCAGCUUCUACCUCCCACAACGGCAUGGAUUUUUUUUUUUUUUUUUUUUGGCUGGGAAUACAUUGCUUGAACCUAAAGUAAACAGUCAUCUGAAAAUUCUUUAGGGGUUCAUACAUGUGCUUGGCCAAAAAGAACGUGAUCGCUUUCAUUCUUUCUUUCCUUCUAUGACAUGACCCGCACUUACGGAGAAAAAAGGAGCAGAGGUUGUACUGGAGGGGGAGAGAGACAAUCCUAAUUUUCUCUUUCCAGUUUUUCACUCUUUUCUCAAACUACUUUUCCUUCUUUUUACUAGCUUAGAUGAUUUUACUGAUGAGAAACUGGAAGCACAGAGAGGUGAGGGAAAUUGCCCAAGAUCACAGAGAU